rnacentral:rRNA from 1 species
AGCGAACGCUGGCGGCAGGCUUAACACAUGCAAGUCGAGCGGGCAUCCUUGUGGUGUCAGCGGCAGACGGGUGAGUAACGCGUGGGAACGUUCCCUUCGGUUCGGAAUAACUCAUGGAAACUUGAGCUAAUACCGGAUACGUUCGAGAGCAGAAAGGUUUAUCUGCCGAAGGAUCGGCCCGCGUCUGAUUAGCUAGUUGGUGAGGUUACGGCUCACCAAGGCGACGAUCAGUAGCUGGUCUGAGAGGAUGAUCAGCCACACUGGGACUGAGACACGGCCCAGACUGCUACGGGAGGCAGCAGUGGGGAAUAUUGGAAAAUGGGGGCAAACAUGAUCAAGCCAUGCCGCGUGAGUGAUGACGGCGUUAGGGUUGUAAAGCUCUUUUCUCCGGGACGAUAAUGACGGUAACGGAGGAAUAAGCCCCGGCUAACUUCGUG